rnacentral:lncRNA from 1 species
CCCCAACCCCACCCCAUGUGAUUCUGCUGCAGGUGAUCUGAGAAAUGGAAUCACACAAAAGUGGCUCUGACCACAUCCCAUUUCUUACCUGGCGUAUCUUACAUGAGAGAAGAAGGAGAUUCUAAGGCCUUGUGUCGAAGGUCUUUUUCUGGGAUUUCUGCUUAUAGGUGCCUCUUCGGGAACAGGCAGUGAGAACCUGGAAUGACAGUAACAAGUCUCCUCCAAAGCAGCGCUGUGUCUGUGCUGUAUGGUCAGAUGGGCACACCAGCAGCUGCCUUCUCUGACUCUUCUGUAUUUUCAGGAGAUGGCAUUUUUAAAAAAUAAUAUUUUUAUGAGAUGAAUCUCAUUUUCUCUAAUUCUAUAAAUAAGGAAACAAAAGCAUAAACAUCUGCACUUAGGGGAACAAGUGACCAAAGCCAGAUGCUCCCAGCUCCAGGGGAUUCACAGCAGUGAAUGGUGAACUUGCCCACUGUGCAAACUAUUGACCUGUGGCUGGAUGCUCUGCAUUUGCCAAAAAGAACUGGUUCUGCCCACGGUGCAUCAAUGCUUAAGGUGAUGAGUGGAUGCCUGGCCAGCCUCCAAUCCCAGGGUCUGAAAGCUGCAGCAACUGUAGAAAAGAUACUGGACACUCCUCAGAAAUAUUUUGUUGGCAUAAAAAGAAAUAUUGAUUAAUU